UCCGGGGACGGCCGGGGGGGGUGCCGCCCGGGGGGUGCCGCCCGGGGUCCCUGUGCCCUGGUCCCGGGAAGCAGAAACCGCACAUGGCAACUUCAAAAAAAAAAAAAAAUGACGAGGGCUCAGUACGGAAAUGUAUGAUGACAAACCGAAGGGAUUGAACCGGGAGCCGCAGGUCGAUGGAAAGAAAUGUCAUCCUAAGGCUUGUCGGUGUUCAGUGAACAGAGCAUGACUUUCUCCAGAUUCGGUUGAAUUUAUCAAGGAAAUCGAUAGACGGUGCUUUCCUGAGCGUCCCGUGCACUCUUUAAGACCUGCUUAUUUCUGAGGCCGGGUCUGCAGGAAAAUCAGUUCUUGGUGGAGUGUGGAUCCCUACAUGAAGUUCCCGGCUUCUCCUGGUCGCCGGAGCCGCGGAUGCUCCCCGAGGUCGGAGCUGAGCGUGCAGUCCACGUCUGUCUACACUAGGUGGAGCUGAGGAGUUCAGUGCCCGGCGACUGGCCACCGAAUGGAAAAAUAGUUUGGGCAGAAGGUGCUGGUUUUUUUUUUUUUUUUUUUAGAAAUAAAUGGGGCGCUGCUUCUGUUUCAUUGGGAAAGAAAAAAAAAUUAUGGAGGAGGAAGUGUAGCGCACUUAUUUUUUGGAGUCAUUGCAUUAUAACCCGUCUGGAAGGUUAAACACACACAGCCUGCAAAUGCUGCAAGGGAGUAGUGGAUAAAGACAUUCUGGCGUCUCUCACGGUUCCUCACUUUGCUUAUUGGAGCAAGGAAUUAUGGAUUACGUCUCCCGUAAAUGGAAAAGAGAUAGAAGAAGAAUAUAUUCCUGUAAAGCCAUUCCCACAAGCCCUGCCUUUACGAAAGCUGCUUUCGUCUCAUUAAAAAUCUAACUACAAAUCAGCUAAAAUACUAGUAGGGUUGAUGACAGCCUUUUCAGUGUAGAUAAGAGGUUAAGAUAUACAGUGUGAUUAAAGUAAAAUAGAAAACCCAUCUGCUUCAUUUAUCUUGUGUGUCUGUGUGUGCUCUUAGCGAGCACGCUUUGAAAAACAGUUAACGCGGUACACACAAAGAAAACGUGGUAAAGAGGAACAUUUUGAAAACAGUGCCUCAAAGAUUGAGUGUUGUCAAGAGAUUUGUGAUCUGCAUGUUUUUAGUGGUCCUCAAGAUGGCUUUCGGAUGUCAUGCUUUGUGGUUUUCCAAAUAAAUAUUUAAAUACAAAUAUAAUUCAGCAAGUGGUUUGAAAACCCAUGCCUAGUUUAGGAUUGUAACUGAUCCAACAGAUCUCAGUGUGGGGAAAAGGUGACAUUCUACUCCAAAAUACAGGCACUAUGUGUUUCUCUGAUAUAUGAUAACUUGAGCAUUACUCCGAAGAGAAAAUUCUGACUGUACUGGAGAUGGGAGGGGAUAGGAGACUACCAAGUUUGAGCAGAUGAAAUACCAUCUUUAAUCACAACUUUAUUCCUUAUAAGUUUAUUUUACCUAAGUUUCCUUUUAAAAGAGAAGUUCUUUUGCCAGGAUACCCACUUAAAUUUGAAUUUCAGAUAGACGAUGGAUAAUUUUUUAAUAGAGGUAUAUUCCGUGCAAUAUUUGGGAUAUACUUAGACUAAAAAAUUAUUCUUAUCUACCUGAAAUUCAAAUUUACUUGGAUAUCCUGUAUCUUUAUUUGGUAAAUCUCAGUACCCUACCUGUAGAGGAUACCUAUGAAUCCCACAGGAAUAAUAAUGAUCGUUUAUACGUAUUUAAGUCCGUAGGCCCUAUACCACUUGCUUAGUGUGAUGUGUUUCUUAAUCUUUACAAAUAUCCUAACAGGGAGAUAAUUGCUUCCCUGACUUUAUAAAAGAGGAAACUGAGGUUUAGAGAAAUUAUGUAACUUCACCAUGGUCAGAAAGCUACCAGACAACAGUAUAUUGAUUCAAAUCCCUGUCUUUCCUCCAACUACCCAGUACUGGCUCCCAGGGAAUGAUGGCAGAGCUCUGGGGACACUUCACAAAGCUGAAUGAGGUGGAAUGAGAGAAAAUGAAACAGUUGUGGGGCACUUGGUUGAGUCUUCUCUCCAGUCAGCAGAAUCCACUUUCUGGCUUCUAUGGGCACAAAUAAGAUAUUUUGGCUUUUAAUUUGCUAACACUCUUAGUUUAUUCCUGAAUUUUAGAAUCGUGUACAGAAAAAUAUAGUUCUUAUAAGCAGCAUCACAUUUAUAAUUUGGUGUUUUGUGGUGUUCUGACUGACGUGACUAUGAUACGAAAUCAUAAAGGCCAUUAUUUGUCCCUAAAGGGUAUUAAGAUUUAUUUUAAAAAUAGUCCUUCCUUAUAACAGCGGCUACAAUUGUGUUGGCAUUUUAUUGUAUCUGAGAAACCCGGUCAUGAACACAUACUUCUCUUUACAGAAAAUGUCCUUGUCCACACAUUGGUUUUCAUAUUGAAUGCGUUCACUAAUCCUUUAACAAACAAUAGUUCUACACCCUUUGCAGAUUAAAGGGCAGACACCUGCAUUAUUAAUCAUCUUAAAUUAAAUGAACCAGGGUUUUUGUAAAGUGUGACAUAGUAUACGGCAUAGAAAGUGCUCUGUUAAAUGGUCUGGGUUUUUAUCAUUUUUAAUACUGUCAUUCGCUGUAUUAGGUAACAUGAAAAAGUGUGUGAUAUGAUCUAAUGGUAUAAUUUAUUAAAAAUAAAUUCAAAUGACCAA